AAUUUACUUGACGUAGUUUUUCAGUGGUAUGCCUGCAUGCAUUUGGAUGUAGACGUGUCUGCAUGUACUUUGAUCAUACAUGAGAGGUAUACAAAAACAUGCGGCCACAUGUGCUCGUAUAUUGUGCAUACGUGUUUUGCCUUUUGACAAGAACCGUUUGUGACACUGCAAAGAUGCCAGUGUAUGGUCCUAAUCAGCAUUCCGCACUGUUUCCAGCGAUGUAUCUUAUAUAUGUCGUUGUGGUAAUUCUUAUGGUUGUGGCUCUGCUAGCACCUGCAAGUCACCUGGACCCGGAUAUAGAGAAAAUGUUCUAUUUUGAAGAGAAAGGAGCAUCGGUUGAGUGAUUUUAUUGGCUGACAUACAAUUUAGCAAAAAAUAAAAGUAACACAAG